CUUGGAUCAAGCACUUAUUACCCUACAUUGAAAGAUUAUAUCCUUGAAUAUUCUGUUCUUGCAUGUAUGCAUCUAGUAGCCGUUUGAACAUCUGUAUGGACUCUGAUAAAACCACUUCUUCAGGCAGAGAAUUCCACAUCCUGAUUGUUCUUACAGUAAAAAAACCUUUCCUUUGCCUUAGACGAAAUCUUCUUUCUUCCAGUCUAAAUGCAUGGCCUCGUGUCCUAUGUAAAGUCCGGUUUGUGAAUAGAUUUCCACACAAUGGUUUGUAUUGGCCCCGAAUAUAUUUGUAUAAUGUUAUCAUAUC
rnacentral:lncRNA from 1 species